rnacentral:tRNA from 1 species
GGGAGCGUGGCACAGCGGCUACUGCGGUCGCCUGCAGAGCGACUUUUCCUGGGUUCAAGUCCCAGCGCUCCCU